rnacentral:rRNA from 1 species
UUGAGCGCUGGCGGCAGGCCUAACACAUGCAAGUCGAACGGUAACAGGAAGAAGCUUGCUUCUUUGCUGACGAGUGGCGGACGGGUGAGUAAUGUCUGGGAAACUGCCUGAUGGAGGGGGAUAACUACUGGAAACGGUAGCUAAUACCGCAUAACGUCGCAAGACCAAAGAGGGGGACCUUCGGGCCUCUUGCCAUCGGAUGUGCCCAGAUGGGAUUAGCUAGUAGGUGGGGUAACGGCUCACCUAGGCGACGAUCCCUAGCUGGUCUGAGAGGAUGACCAGCCACACUGGAACUGAGACACGGUCCAGACUCCUACGGGAGGCAGCAGUGGGGAAUAUUGCACAAUGGGCGCAAGCCUGAUGCAGCCAUGCCGCGUGUAUGAAGAAGGCCUUCGGGUUGUAAAGUACUUUCAGCGGGGAGGAAGGGAGUAAAGUUAAUACCUUUACUCAUUGACGUUACCCGCAGAAGAAGCACCGGCUAACUCCGUG